GUGAGAGGGAGAGGUUGGAAUACCAGCCCAGCCCAACCCAGCCAGGACUGAGCUCUGCCACAGGAGCCCUUGUGACCUGGAAUUCCUGUGUCCGUCUCCUGUGUCCAGCCCUUCAGUUUCCCUCCAGAAACAGCUGAGCACCUCCCUCCAGUCGAUCACACUCGGGAGGAGACGAUGAGGACAAGGGAGGGAAUACCUGUGACCUUCUGCCACCCCAGGUUUCCGAGUCCCAAAAGAAAGGGAGGAAUGUGAGAAUUUGGCAGGUCUCCAAUCAAUUGUUCUACUGUAUAACACCGUCCCCUUCUCACCUCUCUCCCUUUUUCUCUUUCCCUUUCAAGUUCCUGUAAUCCAGCAGAAAUCCAAACCGUUCGGGUAUGAUUUUGUCUGUGUGCUUGUUUUGCUUGUGAGGUUUACGUAGACUAAAGAUUAGCUUCACUGGGUCAGAGGCUGUCAAAAAAAAUCUACAUAUCAGCUUCCCCUGAGCUCAGCCAUAAAUAAGGUAAUUGUUUUAUGCGUGCAGUUGUUUCCUGCAAUUCUGAACAUGUGUGCUAUUUGUUUUAAACAAAAACAAAGGACUUUUAAUGCACUACUCAAUUCCUAAAUGCUGGAAGCUAAUUCCUUCUUGACUUUGUUUCCAGUUUUGUGCUUAUCUAAAAUAACCAUCUACUGGUUGUAGGUCAUAUUAUGAAGGCAAACAAGAAAGUGGUAUCAGUCUUAUCAAGGAAACAAAGAAUCAUAUUUCCCAAAAUAUCUCCUUUUACCAAUCACUGAUAACCUGUUAUAUACUGUUAUAAACUGCAUACAACAUGGAAACCCGUUUAAAUACAAUGCUAAGAAAACAUUAUCUGCCCCCUUCCUGAUUUCUUAUUUUUUCCGUAUUUGUAACACUUAAAUGUUUC